GGUAGUCCACGCCCUAAACGAUGUCUACUAGUUGUCGGGUUUUAAUUAACUUGGUAACGCAGCUAACGCGUGAAGUAGACCGCCUGGGGAGUACGGUCGCAAGAUUAAAACUCAAAGGAAUUGACGGGGACCCGCACAAGCGGUGGAUGAUGUGGAUUAAUUCGAUGCAACGCGAAAAACCUUACCUACCCUUGACAUGUACGGAAGACCGAAGAGAUUUGGUUGUGCUCGAAAGAGAACCGUAACACAGGUGCUGCAUGGCUGUCGUCAGCUCGUGUCGUGAGAUGUUGGGUUAAGUCCCGCAACGAGCGCAACCCUUGUCAUUAGUUGCUACAUUUAGUUGAGCACUCUAAUGAGACUGCCGGUGACAAACCGGAGGAAGGUGGGGAUGACGUCAUGUCCUCAUGGCCCUUAUGGGUAGGGCUUCACACGUCAUACAAUGGUACAUACAGAGGGCCGCCAACCCGCGAGGGGGAGCUAAUCCCAGAAAGUGUAUCGUAGUCCGGAUCGCAGUCUGCAACUCGACUGCGUGAAGUUGGAAUCGCUAGUAAUCGCGGAUCAGCAUGUCGCGGUGAAUACGUUCCCGGGUCUUGUACACACCGCCCGUCACACCAUGGGAGCGGGUUUUACCAGAAGUAGGUAGCUUAACCGCAAGGAGGGCGCUUACCACGGUAGGAUUCGUGACUGGAGUGAAGUCGUAACAAGGUAGCCGUAUCGGAAGGUGC
rnacentral:rRNA from 1 species